CCCCCCCAAGGGUCACGGGGUGCUGGAGAUGCCGUCGGGGACCGGCAAGACGGUGUCGCUGCUCUCCCUCAUCGUCGCCUACCAGAGGGCUCACCCUCUGGACGUGUCCAAGCUCAUUUACUGCUCCCGCACGGUGCCGGAGAUCGAGAAGGUGGUGGAGGAGCUGCGGAAGCUUCUGGAAUGUUACGAGAAGGA